rfam:Dipodomys ordii contig_25939, whole genome shotgun sequence.
GGGAAGGUGGCUCAGUGGUAGAGCGCUUGCUUUGCAUGCAGGAGGUCCUGGGUUCGAUUCCCCAGCAUCCCA